UGGCAUGUAAUCAAUGACAAAACGAUGCCAUGUGGCAGAAAAAAAAGUUGUAUUACGUUUACUGAGUAUAAUUCUCUGGAUCGUGCAACAAGGCAGGCCUGCUUGGUUCUUUCGGGAAAUGAUUGUGAAGAUUUACAAAGAAUAGGUUUACGUCAUUUACUCUCUGACUGGGACGUUUGGGGCCAAUUGGCGGGAAUUUGCUGUGGACAAAAUACAUACGGCGAUACACUGGUAAGAGCAAAUUACGUUUAACCAUGUAAUUGUAUUCCCCUGUAUUGUGUAACCAGUUAACUUCAUUUAAUAUUGUAUGUGGUGUAACAAGUUCCUUCCGGAGACCAUUUUGCAGAUCCCCCUUUUGUGCGACCAAAGAUUUGUUUGUACAAGUUUACAACACCAAACAUUUGCAUCUCCAAAACUUAACUGAACAAUAUUCUCUGGCAGAGUGUUUUCUAGUUAAACGUUUGCAUCUACCAUUUUUCUUGGACAUGAAUGCAGCAUCAUUCUAGGGUAACUCAAGCAGCGAAUGACGAGAUCAGCAAGGCUCAAAUCCCGCAGCAGCAUUUUAUCACUGGGGAGAUUUAACAGGAAUAUUGUGUCUCAGAAUGAAAUGAAAGAGCUAAAUCAGCUGGAGGUGUACAGUUCUAAAGGAACGGACCGAGGACCAGUCCAGCACCCAUACCAAAUAUCAAAUGGAGAAAACAAAACCGAGUUGAGACCAGCAGCAACUUUAUGUAGUUCUAGCCGUAGAGCAGGCCCCAGCAGAGAACCUGAGAACCUUCAAGACAAUUGUUGAGGUGGAGAUAAAGGCAACACUACAUUCAUUCUCUCCACACCUUCCACCUUGGCUCACCUCAGCCCCAUCCACCCAUGACCAAGUACCACCAAGUAGUCUUUUUUUUCUUCAUAGCUGAUUUUGUCUGGGAGGAAUGUUUCGAUGUACACGUUUCACUGCUGCGUGUUGGGAGGGAGCAUUGGGUAGCUGGUGCAAAAUGGAUAAACUGACAUCUGUUGGCCCCCAGCUCUCACAAGGCCACGUGUGUUCCCAUACAUCAGACAAGUACAUGAAUGAAGUUGUACAGAGUGAAUGUAGACUGUCCACUAUGUUAGUUAGUACUGUCUUCUCAUAUUUGUGCUCUGCAUUCAGCUCACUAAAUAUACCUUAGAAAACAGACUGCUCUGUGUUCAAAUCUCCUCAAAUGUGUCCAAGAAAAGAGAAAGUUGUAUUAUUUGGGACCUUCCCUUUCUGUUUUUAACCUUUUCAAUAAUCUUACUGCCACCUUGCACCGUUUUGUUCUUUUAAUCUUCUGGCUUAUCAGCCUGCAUUUCCUUUGUGCUUCCUCACUUAAUCCUCUGCCACUCUUUUAUUUAAAGACUUUUUAUGUCACUGUUUUCCCCCCUGAAGAGGUUGUUUUCUGUUGAGAUUGAAUCAAUCUAUUUGUUGACACCUGACAAUCAUCACCUUCGUAUAUCAUAAUGCAGACUGGUUUGGACUGAAGGAGGCUGGCUAGAUUAGACCUUUGCCAGAGUUGAGCCACUUUGAAUUUGAGCUGUGAGAACUCGCUGUCUCUUCGAAGCGAAGGGUUCCUCUCAGAAGUCAUAAUACAAUAUUUCUGUCCAGCACACCAUGUCACCUUUAGGUGGCACUAUAACAGCAUUCAGAGAGAUGGUGUCUUUCUGAAAGGAUAUUCUGCCAGUGUUUAUGAGAUUAAAGGAGAUGACAUUUGAUUUUUAACAGAAUGCACUUACCGCUUUUACAUGAAGUUUGCAUUAUAUGCCCUCCUUUUUUUAAGGUUUUUAAUUAUCCUGGAUUGCUCCCACUCAUUAGUUUCCAUGAUCUUAUAGCUUUGCCUGACAAGCUCUGUCCUGUUCUCACUUUUUAUUUUCAAGUUGGCCAUCUUCCAAACCAAUUUAAUAAUAUUUACUAUUUAAAAAAUAUUUGGUUGACUUCUCUGAGAAAUCUGGCCAUGGAAAGAAACAUUUGUGUACUGCCAGCUUUUGACACAGUCCAGUUUUAUCUGUAGUUAUGAUCAAAUCAAGCAUCUUUGUCACUCGCACUACACAUGGCAGGUGCUUAGCUAAGAGAAUCAUUAUCUGAUGAAUUGCGUUGCCAAUGAAGCCACCAAGAAGUAUUUUUUUUUAGUAGCCCUGCAUGAAGUCAUUCAUUUCCUUUCAUCCAGAAGUAAGGGAUGGCAAAAUGCCAGUGAAAAUUGUGUUAAUAUCAAAAUGUGCCAUUUUAUUAUAACACUAUAUUCUUUCAAGUCAAUUGAAAUUACCUUUUUAUUUUCUGUAGCAUGUAAUGUGUUAAUAUACUAGUAAAUAAAGUCAAACCCAUGACAAGUGA